UACAUAGGUCCCAAGCGUUGUUCGGAUUUACUGGGCGUAAAGGGUGCGUAGGUGGCGGGGUAAGUCUGGUGUGAAAGCUCCGAGCUCAACUCGGAAAAGCAUUGGAAACUAUCCCGCUUGAGGGUCGGAGGGGAGACUGGAAUUCUCGGUGUAGCAGUGAAAUGCGUAGAUAUCGAGAGGAACACCAGUGGCGAAGGCGGCUCUCUGGGCCUUUCCUGACGCUGAGACGCGAAAGCGUGGGGAGCGAACCGG
rnacentral:rRNA from 1 species